ACAAAAGAGCAGUUUUAUUCAGCGGCCUCUGCAAUGUGUGCUAUCGAAAUUGAAGAAGCCCAGAACAUCACCGCGCCCUUCUCAGAGCAAGUCCGCCUCUUGCUCUUAGUCAACACAGUUUGGGUCUUCCUGGCAACAUAUUGGCUAUGCCACAAAGGGUGAUUCACGAUUCAAGAAUAGACAAAACAGUGUGACCCAAUUAACAAUCCGAGCUCAGUUUUAACCAGGUGAGUCCAUUAUGUUUGGUGUUCUCUGUACAAGAAUGCAAAUUAUAGCUCCUAAUCGGGGGGUUUCAGUGGUAAAACUCAACAAAUCCAUCUGGGUUUUCUUCAUAAUAGCUUGGCUUUCACUAUUAGAUUACUUUCAUCAUCAUUUAACUCAGAGAAGAAAUUGUUUAAACCACAUAAAGGUAAACAGUCCCAAGAAUUUGCUAAAUCUGUCUCUAGGAAGAUGAAUUUUAAAACCGCAGAUAGACCAGAUGGGUCCUUAGCCUUCUCAGAGAUCAUGUUAGCCUUCUCAGAGAUCAUGUAUUCACGAAUGCUCACAUCUCUAAGCUUCUUAGUUAAAAUAUUCAUUUGUGAUUGCACUAAAAUUGAUUUCUGAAAAGUCCCAGAGAACAUGGGAGCAGAAAAUGGAGGUUUAGAGGAGUUGGGGUUUGUCGGAAGAAGAAAUUUGGUCAGGUACUAAUUAUUCCUUCUAUAUGUUUCUUUCAGUAAAGAAAAUUACGAGAAUCAUGGAUUUUCUCGAAAACAGGAUGGGUUGGAGGCCUGCAGACAUUGCCAGAGUUGCAGUUGUUUUUGGUUAUAGUUUGGAGAAGAGAAUUAUCCCAAGGUGCUCAGUUAUAAUCAGAGUUCUGCUAGUGAGAGGCUUGGUCAAGGGAAAAAUAAAUAUACCUUCAAUGGUGAUAAUGGCUGAGAAGCAUCUUCUAUAUGCAUUUGUGAGCAAAUAUCAGGAAAAAGUAUUGAGCAUCUUUUGGGGGGGAAUGACUUUUCCGGAUUUAGGCAAUGAGUUUUGUGUGAUUAAUGUUCUUGCUUGAUGAAGGAAAGUAAAUUACGCGAAGAAAAAUUUCUUAUGCUGAAAAAAGAUAAUCA
rnacentral:misc_RNA from 1 species